rnacentral:rRNA from 1 species
CCUACGGGUGGCAGCAGUGGGGAAUAUUUCGCAAUGGGCGAAAGCCUGACGCAGCGACGCCGCGUGCGGGAUGAAGGUCUUCGGAUCGUCAACCUCUGUCAGCAGGGAAGCACGGUCACUGUGCUAAUCAGCCGUGAAUUGACGGUACCUUCAAAGGCAGCACCGGCUAACUCCGUGCCAGCAGCCGCGGUAAUACGGAGGGUGCGGGCGUUAAUCGGAAUUACGGGGCGUAAAGCGCUCGUAGGCGGUAGGUCAAGUCAAGGGUGAAAUCCCCGCGCUCAACGUGGGAACUGCCUGUGAAACUGGCAAACUGGAGUGUGUGAGAGGAUAGUGGAAUUCCAGGUGUAGGAGUGAAAUCCGUAGAUAUCGGGAGGAACAUCAGUGGCGAAGGCGACUAGCUGGAACAUAACUGACGCUGAGGAGCGAAAGCGUGGGUAGCAAACAGGAUUAGAUACCCCUGUAGUC